GAUGAACGCUGGCGGCGUGCCUAAUACACGCAAGUCGAACGGGGAAAGCUUUCGGGUGAGUACUAGUGGCGCACGGGUGAGGAACGCGUGGAUAAUCUGCCUUAGAGUGGGGGAUAACUAGUCGAAAGAUUAGCUAAUACCGCAUAAGACCACAGGAGCUGCGGCUCAAGGGGUCAAAGGUUUUUCGCUCUAAGAUGAGUCCGCGUAAGAUUAGCUAGUUGGUGAGGUAACGGCUCACCAAGGCGACGAUCUUUAACUGGUCUGAGAGGAUGAUCAGUCACACUGGAACUGAGACACGGUCCAGACUCCUACGGGAGGCAGCAGUAGGGAAUAUUGCACAAUGGAGGAAACUCUGAUGCAGCGACGCCGCGUGAGUGAUGAAGGCCUUCGGGUCGUAAAGCUCUGUCGCAGGGGAAUAACACAAUGAAGGUACCCUGUAAGAAAGGAUCGGCUAACUUCGUGCCAGCCGCCGCGGUAACAC
rnacentral:rRNA from 1 species